CCCUUAGAUGUUCGGGGCCGCACGCGCGCUACACUGAAGGAAUCAGCACGUCUUUCUCCUUGUCCGAAAGGACUGGGUAACCCGCUGAACCUCCUUCGUGCUAGGGAUUGGGGCUCGUAAUUCUUCCCCAUGAACGAGGAAUUCCCAGUAAGCGCGAGUCAUAAGCUCGCGUUGAUUACGUCCCUGCCCUUUGUACACACCGCCCGUCGCUACUACCGAUUGGAUGGUUUAGUGAGAUCCUCGGAUUGGUCCCGGAGCGGCCUCUGGUCGUGCCGGAGUGCCGAAAAGAAUGUCGAACUUGAUCAUCUAGAGGAAGUAAAAGUCGUAACA
rnacentral:rRNA from 1 species